rnacentral:lncRNA from 1 species
UUAACAGCUCGAUCAAUGCCAGCAUUUAAAAUCUGAACACCCUACAAUCCUGUAAUGCAAUAACAAAGAAAAACUGAAUAGUGGUUGUCCCCCUUGAUUCUUCAACAUGUCCUCUCUUCUGCCUCCCUAUCCUACAAUACAACAACCAAGAAACAGAGCAAUUAAUCAUAAGCGCAUAGCAAUAAGACCAAAAAGAUUGGUUCAGUUGAACUAUUAGUAAGCAGGAGACACGACGAAGAUCAAGAAUUUACAGACAUCAUGUGCAAACAUGCAACAUAUCAUCAUUGCAGUACUGCCGCAAGUAUCGAUCACUAAUUACAAUAUCAUGACAGAAUGCUCAUGUGGCCAUUCUUAUCCCAAGAUAUGCCAUCUUCUUCUAUGUGGCAUAUUCUAAUGCAAGUAUGGACCAAGAAUAUGUUCUAAUUACUUGCUAGCACUCCAAGAUAAUUAUAGAACAUGCAAGUAUGGGCCAGCGAAUCGAUUAUAUGUGCAGGUACAAAAGAUAAAGUGGAUAACCAGCCCAUUAGGUAAAACUGUAAAAAAAAUAAACACCUGACUGUACUUCCACUGAAGCUAUUGCAGCAUAGGUAGUUUUUUGCUCUUGGUCUGCACCAAUGGACCCAAGGUAUCAUGCUCUUGUGUUAGAGAAUACCAUGUUUUCUUUUUUAUUCUUUGUUUAUAUUGGCAUGUGAAAUGCAAUUCACCACUUUGUACUCAGACUUGUUUUGCCCAUACACCAGAAGCACCAGAAGGCAAACAUAAACAAUAAACAGGAGGCAACAAUGAAUUAAAAAAACAGAGGAUAUGCAUAUGCUAAUGAAUUAAAAGUAAACAUUUGGAAAUAUCCCAAAUGGUAAAUCUAUCACGAGAAGUUUCUUAUGAAUCUUUGUAGCAAUUUUUUAGAGAGCAUCAAACAUGUAAUCAGAUAAUUCUUUGUAAGCAUGCAUCCAAAUUCAUACUUGGACAGAGUGUAGAACAAGGGGCAGCAGAUCAACACCCCCUUCAGUAAACAAACAGCCACCCCUGGCAGUACUGCAAAAGAAAUCAUGUAACUGAGAUAAGCACUGAUAUAGCCAUAGAAUAUAUGAACAAUCAGAUUCAGUUGACCACUCUGUUCCUGCCAAUGCCCUCCAUGAGCUAAUGAGAGGAUCGAUUCAAUUGAAGGAAGCUUCCUCGUAGCAACAUGGCCAAAACUAUAUGUGAUUGCAAGCACACGGGAUUGCUAGGUACAGAUCAAUUGAAAGAAAUCUUAAGAACAAAAAACAAAAUUUCCAAACAUGCAUCUUUUGAGCAGUACAUGUAUGUGUUGCUUAUUCACCUUCUUUGCCAUGGCUUGCUGCUCCAAGCACGUGCAGCCCCAUAUCCUCCAUGGUUUGCUACUCCAAAACUGAGCAGCCCCCAAAUCCUCCAUUUUUACUGUUCUGUGUGUUUCUUCGUGUGAGAAAGGAGAAGAAACGACAUAGAGAGAUACAUACGGGAGAAGGGAGAGAAAGGACGU